GAGUUUUUCGAAAAUCUAUGGGAAUUGGUGGAUUGGAAAGCUUUUAUUUUCUUCUGAUUAGCUUUCCAAUUCCACCCAUUCCUAUGGUUUUUCGGUAUCCUCUC